rnacentral:tRNA from 1 species
GCCCCGGUGGCCCAGGGGGCGGACGCGCCUCCGGGGAGCGUGGCGGGCGGCGUGCCGCCCCACUGCUCCACCAGUGCCGACGUC